CUCAGGAGCGCUAGCGACGGGCUCUGGGUCUUUUAGGAGCAACGGGGUCUGGACAGGGACGGAGCUCCCGCUCCAACUUCCGCGCCUUAAAUUAGCUGCGCCUCCUUCGAGUUCAGCAUUUGAUUUCCUAAUCAAUCUCUUUGUCGUCACCGCCCCCCCCAUCCCGUGGCCUUAACCCGAGCUUCCUGUUUCCCGGUCGGCCUUGUCCCGGCCUGGGUCCCGCGGUCGCCCGACUUUCCCGUCGAAGGCCCUCGAGCUCUGCGAUCCCAACACUCGGCUCUAGCUGCCCUCCGAGGCCUUACAGAAACUUGGGCGCCGCCCUCAGAUCGCAGCCCCGGCCAGAGCUUCGCGAGUGCCGGGCCGCCGCGGGCCGCCUCCACCUGGCAGCGACUCGGGUUCCGCGGAUGGCACUUACCUCCCCGAGAAGCCGGGCGGCAGAGGGAAGCGAGCUCUGGGCGGCUCCUGCCGGAGUGCGCGGGGCGCGGAGCAGCGCGCGCCUUUAAGACUUCCCUGAGACUCCGCCAGGUGGUGUCACGCCGGACGGGCCCUCGAGCUCCUCGCCCUCGCGGCCACCCGGCUUCCCUGCCCGCCGCCACCGCCGGAACCCCAGCCACUGGCUCUCCCCAGCCCUUCCCCACCGGCUCCUGGGGAACUAGUGGGGGUGGGGUGGGGACAGGUUGGAUAUAACUUGAGACGCACUUUUAUCCGGGAGAAAUCACCCCCCCACACACCUGUCCUACCUUUGGUUUGACCUGGAGAGUCGGAAGAAUCUAUUUUCCAACCAUUGCUAGGGAUGGAGGUGGGAGAGGAGAAGACUGAGAAGUUUUGCCCAAGGACCUGCGCUUAGGUCCUUAUAGCCAUCACCUCAGGAUAAGCCUCAAGUCUGGGCUAACCAGUCCUCUCUUCUCGCCUUUGGUCCAAGAUGGCCCGCUGACGCGCCUCCCCCAGUUACCAUUAAAAUGACCGAAGAUCAAAUAAAACUGUAAGUUAGGAAAAUGGGUCAUCCACAUUUCCGAGCGUGGAACAGGACUUUAGGAGGACACCAGUGAAGGCGGAAGGAACCUCGCAUUCACCCGGCGAGGACAGCACUCACGGGCCUUCUCCAAGCUCCAGGUUGGCGCUGAAGUCCCAACACCAAAAGCCACCUGCGAACCCUCCGCAGAGAUCGAGCUUCUACGGGGCAGAGGACUUCGGGCAGAAACUGCGCUCUAGCUGCAGGCCAUUAUUCAACUUUAACAUCAUGGGCCUUUCAAGGAUUAUUUUGGACACUGGUAUUGAGAUUUCAAACUGCAUUGAUUAUUAACUAAUAUUUCA
rnacentral:lncRNA from 1 species